rnacentral:rRNA from 1 species
CCUACGGGAGGCAGCAGUGGGGAAUAUUGGUCAAUGGGCGGAAGCCUGACCCAGCAACGCCGCGUGAGGGAAGAAGGCUCUCGGGUUGUAAACCUCUUUUCUCAGGGACGAAGCAAGUGACGGUACCUGAGGAAUAAGCCACGGCGAACUACGUGCCAGCAGCAGCGGUAAUACGUAGGUGGCAAGCGUUAGCCGGAUUUACUGGGUGUAAAGGGCGUGUAGGCGGGAAAGGAAGUCAGAUGUGAAAACCAUGGGCUCAACCUGUGGCCUGCAUUUGAAACUGUUAUUCUUGAGUAGUGGAGAGGCAGGCGGAAUUCGUAGUGUAGCGGUGAAAUGCGUAGAUAUCAGGAGGAACACCAGUGGCGAAGGCGGUCUGCUGG